rnacentral:lncRNA from 1 species
AAAGGAAUUGGCUCACAUGAUUGUCAAGUCUGAAAUCUGUAGAGCUGGUUGGCCGGAAAUUCAGUGAAUGCAGCCCCCAGUCACGUACCCGUGGCUUGUGAAAAGCACUGUGAAAAUCCCUGUCCUGUUCUGUUCCAUUCUGAUUACCUGCAGUGCAUGCAGCCCUCAGUCACAUACCCAUGGCCUGCUCAAUUGAUCACGACCCUCUCACAUGGACCCCCUUAGAGUUGUAAGCCCUUAAAAGGGACAGGAAUUGCUCACUCGGGGAGCUCGGUUUUUGGAGAUGAGAGUCCACCGAUGCUCCCAGCUGAAUAAAGC